UACGUAGGUGGCAAGCGUUGUUCGGAAUUAUUGGGCGUAAAGGGCGCGUAGGCGGUUUGUUAAGUCGGCUGUGAAAGCCCGGGGCUCAACCCCGGAGGGUCAGCCGAUACUGGCAGACUAGAGUACGGAAGAGGUAGCUGGAAUUCCCGGUGUAGCGGUGAAAUGCGUAGAUAUCAGGAGGAACACCGGUGGCGAAGGCGGUUCUCUGGGCAUUACCUGACGCUGAGGAGCGAAAGUGUGGGGAGCGAACAGG
rnacentral:rRNA from 1 species